GUACCUGCGGAGGGCAGCAGGGAAGUGAGCGUGGAGCCGGGGCCGCGAGGACCUAACGGGGCAGGAUUUGUCGAGCCGCCGCCGCUUACCUGUGCUUGAAUCGCACCAUGGCGGUCUCUGCUCCGGCUGCCCUACACCCAAAGCGGAUGUCGGUUUCGCUGGCGGCAAAUGGGAAAUUAGUUUCCGUAAUCUUGCAGCCACUCAGAGAGGGAAGCAGGGUAAGAAGGCGGGGCUAGAGUGUUGGGAGGCCGAGCCCAAUGUCAGUCUCCCUUAAGCCCCACCUCCCGCAAACGUUUGGAGGGCGCAUGCGCCCUGCUGGACUGCCUCGUUGAGGUUUAGGUAUUCCGUGGUUGAGGUCCGCGGUUCCGUGGUGUAUGCUUGUGUUGGGUGGUUCUGCUCCACGCCGGAGUUUGCAAAUCUGUGUAGGAGGCAGCUGCUGCAUUUGGGACUCUCGGGAUUUCUGCUUUCUGUUACCUUGCAAUACAGUUGUGUAUGCAUUUAUAUUCACUCCCUAGACUAGACGGUGGAAUUUAAGAGGGCAAGACCCUGCACUUACACGCCUGGGAUUGACAAGGGAAAUCGGACCCUUAGUUUCAGGUGCUGUCUUUAGCUCUACAGAUACAGCAGAGAACAAAGGAGAAUUGGCCUUGCCCAAGUGGAGCUAAAGUCUCUUCUGGAACCUGGAGCACGGAAGGAGACCAAUCUUCCCUACAGACCAAAGAUAAAUUUCUUUUGAAGUACUCUGGAUGGACAAAAAAUCUGUUCAAAAGAUCAAAGGUGAUUAUUUUACCAAAUUAUUAUUUGAAGAAUACGCUCACCAUGAUCAUACAACUAUUUUUUGAUUUAUGGAAACACAAUUGGUAUUCAACUUUUUAGGAGUAUGUUUAGCGUGUGAAACAGGAACAAAUUGCACGAAGUGAGAGCCCACGUCUGUGUUGUUUCUCACUAAGAUCAGCACCUUUCUGGCCACCUAGUAGGCUUUUGAAUAUCUGUGUGAUUGAUUUCAAUGCUGGAAUAUGUUUUCUGUUAAAUCUCAAGGGCAUCAGUUCUGCAGUUCUGCCUCUGUAGUUGUUAACAUGAAUUUUGAUGACACGAAAAAGCUUGUUCUCCGAAUUAUAUUUAGCUCAUACAAACUCUACUGCACAGUUAUGUUGUAAAGAGGAAUUAGGUUUUAUCUUUAAGUUGUUAUUAUAGCCUUGUGAGAAGGUGAACAUUGAGAGUAAGUACAAAGUAGUAGCAUAUCGUAUUAUUAAUUUUGCUACUUUUUAAAAACACUGCGGUGCAGGGCCUAGAACAGGCUGACACAUGUGGUACGUGUAUCAGUCAGGGUCUGCAUAAGAAACAGAUGGCACACUCAAAAUAGAUAAUUAGGGGAGGAUUUAAUAGAGACACUAUAUGCAAGGGUUGGUAAGGUGUAGGGAAACCAUAAGGAUAGUGUAGUAUCCAAGAGGCUCGUAAUAGCUGGGGUCUUUGUCAUUUUUUUUUUUUUAAUUUGUUUACUUAUUUUGACAGAGACAGAGAUGGCACGCGUGGGGGAGGGCAGAGAGAGACGGAGACAGAGAAUCCCAAGCGGGGUCCGCGCCGACACAGGGCUCAAACCCACGAGACCAAACCAAGAGAUCAUGACCUGAAGCCAACACCAAGAGUCGGACGCUUAACCCACUGAGCCACCCAGGUGCCCCAGUCUUUAUCAUCUCUAGAUCUGGAAGUUCAAAGGAGGGAGAAAUGACAACCCAGGAAGAGAGGGCCACCUUGACAAGGAGCGGUGGUGAGCUAUUAUCAAUAGCACAACCAACCCGUGGUGAUCCAGCAGGGAGGGAACUGGGGGAAUAAAUACUUUGACCUCACCCUCCUUCUGCCCUCCACGCCUCUGCUGCUGCCUCCCAUUGGCUGGAAGCUAAGAGGACUAAGGAGUGAGUUGAUGUAGGAUGGGUAGAAAAGUGGACCUGAAGGGGCAAUUGGAAAAUACCCGUUAUAGAAGACUUCAUUUCCUUGUUGAGUGAAGACUUGACGUUUAAAUCUUUUAGUAAGACGUUUAAAUAUUUUAGU